rnacentral:rRNA from 1 species
AUUGAACGCUGGCGGCGUGCUUAACACAUGCAAGUCGAACGCGAAAGAGACUUCGGUCUCGAGUAGAGUGGCGCACGGGUGAGUAACGCGUGGAUAAUCUGCCCUCAUGACCGGGAUAACAGUUGGAAAGGGAUGCUAAUACCGGAUACGCCCGGAAGGAACUUUUAGGGGAAAGACGGCCUCUGCUUGCAAGCUGUCGUAUGAGGAUGAGUCCGCGUCCCAUUAGCUGGUUGGCGGGGUAACGGCCCACCAAGGCAACGAUGGGUACCCGAUCUGAAAGGAUGAUCGGCCACACUGGAACUGAAACACGGUCCAGACUCCUACGGGAGGCAGCAGUGGGGAAUAUUGCGCAAUGGGCGAAAGCCUGACGCAGCGACGCCGCGUGAGGGAUGAAGGUUUUCGGAUCGUAAACCUCUGUCAGAAGGGAAGAAAGUGCGUGGUGCUAAUCAGCCGCGCAUUGACGGUACCUUCAAAGGAAGCACCAGCUAACUCCGUGCCAGCCGCCGCAGUAA